ACAGGACCAGCCGAGCUCCCCUCUGUCGCUGCACUGCAGUAGGAUGGCCUGGGUUUGCUUGUCCAAAUGGCUGCUCCUCCUGAGUGUGUGCUGCCUUGGAUUGAGUGCGCUUCACUUGGUAGACAGUGACUGGGAGUGGGGCUCAGGCCUGGAGGAGCUUCUGCAGAGCUUCCCAGCGGACAGCCCCUUCAUCACAGAGAAACCUGGACAUCCUGCCAACUGCACACAGCGCUUCUGGCUGCCCUCGUCCACUCCUGUGUGCUGGGAUAACAUAGUGGGUCCUGAGGAGUUUGAGCAGACCCGGCUGCUGGUUCUGCAGAACCGUGCGGCUCUGCAGGCCGUUUCCCAGGCCAGCGGCCUAGAGGAGGGGGGAGCCUCCUAUGAUCAGCAGGCCAGGGAGUUCAUCAGAGGGGUCCUGGAUGACCACAGCAACAUUGAGCAGACAGUAGACUCCAUGCAGGAGGUCUUCAACAGCCUGGACAAGAAAAGGAAGGAGGGUGGACAACACUACACCUUCUCCAGUUUAAAGGAGCAGAUUGCGAACAACAUGGACUCAAUCGUCGGCAGGGAUGAAAUCGCAGCUCUUCUGGAACAGCAUAUUUCUGAUCUGGACCGAAGCCUGUGCACCAUGCAGCACCAACUAGCCAGAUUUGGUUUGAGGGAUAUAUCAGGAGAUGAUCCAUUUUUGAGAUGUGCAUGAAGAACUUUUUAACUGUUUGAAGAA
rnacentral:lncRNA from 1 species